CUCACUGGAGAUUCCUGCCUACUGCAGGCCUUCUGAAGUUAUCCAGGCUGAAGGUUAAGACUGAAUGUAGUGGCUUUGUACCAAAACCAGCUCAGUUUCCCUACCUGGAAAUGGGAUGACAACUAAAUCAAGAAUUGCAGUCUUAUAUCUGCAGAUUUAGUUCUACCAGCACUGCCACCUAUGCUUACAUUAUCAGACAGGGAAAUGGAGUCAUGGAGCUAUGAUCUAAGCCCACGCAACCCAAAGGCAGACCAUCCUGAGCCCCCAGUUAGACCCAGCAGACCUAAUAACUUCUACAGCUAUUAAAGCAGGAAGAAAGGGCAGGAGUGUGCUUAGGGCAUAACUGGAAACAGAUGAGUCACUAUAAGUUCUGGCUCCUGUCCAGGCCAGAAGAAGGGUUACAUUUUGUGGCCCUGCAUCUCACGUACCCUCCAUGGAGCCUGGCCUGCUGUCCAGCGCAAAGAACUGCCACGUGGUGUGUUCCCAAGGACAGCUCUGGGAGAUGGUGACAGCUGAAGACCACUGUGAGGCUGAUGCCUGCCUGAGGACCAGUGACACUCUUGUCAGCCAUUGAACCUUACUGCCUCAGUUUCCCUACUGCUAAAUUAAGGCAUAUUUGUAUGAGAUACUGUUUUCUCAACCAGGAAAAUUAUCUCAGCAUUUGGUGUAUAUUUUCUUCUACUGAAGGAUGGAUGUGAUCUUCACAUAGUUAAAAGAUCAGAGCCAUUCCACAUCAGAGAAAGUGCCGGUGGGAGAUGUAGGUGGCCUGUAACACCCACCACUGAUCCUCUAUCUGUGGGGCUGCUGGCAUUGCUAGUUCAAACGGUUCAUCUGGAGGAAAAUGAUGUGUAACUUGGAUAUAUGGGGCUUCCCAGACAGCAGGGCAUACUCUAAGGAAAUGCUCUGCUGAUCAUUUAAUCCCUGCUUUCUUCACUAUGUAGUGCACACUGGCCCACUGAGGAGGUGGGCCCUGCUCCUCCACUGCUGUGACCAGCAAUGCCCAGAGAUCAGUGGCUCCGCAGCUGCACAUCCUGCCUUCUGAACUCAGCCCUGGGAGGGGACUGGAAGAGCUGAAUGGGUCCAUCUGCACUAGCCACCCCUACCUACCUUAAAGCCCCAAACCACGAGGGGCAGUUGGUUACACAGCAGGCUAUUAGCCCCAAGUGUUUCCUGAGGUCUGACUUCAUUUAGUGCGCGGCACGGCACAAGCCCUUUCCCACGCGACGUCUGAACUGAACCUCAUCAGCAGUGCCCAGGCUCUGAUCCUGACCCAGCCUGCACUGCAGCCCCUCUGCAGAACUAACCCGAGAUGAAAGGCGUCAAAUGACAGGAUACAGAGUGCUGAGAGCUGGCUUCUGCAGACAUCUUGCUGGUUGUUUUAAGGUCUUCUGCCUCUAAGUGGCACCAUGCUGAGUGAUUGAACACUUGCUAGAACCUGUUCUACCUUUUAUUGCGAUGAUUCAUUACAGAGCUCCCAGUUUGCAAACUCUGAACAAGCACUGCCUGGAUGUCAGAGCCCUUUGGUCAGAAACACCAGAGCCUUCUGGAGUGAUGGUCCCGGUACUACAAAAUCCCUUUGGAAAGCCACAGCUCUUGAACCAGCACUGGGAAAGACUGAACUUUCAUUUUUAGAGAAGGCUCUCACAUCCCUACGAUCUGUAACGAGAGGUACUCAAAAUACAGCCAGGUGAAGCUUCCUCUGCUGUAAAUUUCCAGAGGAUUACACUGAAUCAUAGGUUUAUGGAUUUGUAUGUGCUUAAUAUAAUCAGGCUCAGAUUGUCUUUAUGUAGCUUCUGCUCAGAGCGCAGGAAAUAGUUUGGAAGGGGGACAGAGGGUGUCCCAGAAUGGAUGGGUCCAGUCUAUGUACACUGUGAGACAGACACACGCACACACUUAUUCUGAACAUCCUGAAACUGCUUAAGCCAUGUGUACUCCCCAGACUAGCUAUGCAGUACUGGAAAUGUUGUGCUUUUUAAAACAGAAGGAAGUGAUCUCCUCUCAGCGCCACAGUGGGAUCACAACACAAUAACAUUCAGCUAUUCACAAGCAUCUACUAUGAAGUCUGGCUUUGCUUUAAUACUUACUUAGAAGUCCUCACACAUUUUGCAGCAUUUGGGGCUGUCUUACUCUACCUUAAAAUACAGUAAGGCUUUCCUGUCCCUACAUAACGAAACAAAAUCCACACCCCAAACUCCAGCUCGAAACAACAAACCAGUGCAGCUCAGGAAAGCUACGGAUGCCUUAAGAGAGCCAAAGAAAUGUACACCAUGAGAAAAGUUUUCCUGUAUUUGAGAGAAGGUUGUCAGGAUGGUAAUAUAGUACGGUGUGUAGUGAAGACUGGGAGAUUUAUGUGCCAAUUCUGUGUAUGAUUUAUUUAGAUGAAUCGUUUUUUAUCAAUAUGUAAAAAUCCAAUAAAUAUACCUCCCUAUACAAAGGGUUGCUCCAGCCCCAAUGUUUCAGUGGACAGUUUUGGCAGAAAGUCAGGAUGUGCAUUAAAAACACACUUUU
ensembl:lncRNA